rnacentral:rRNA from 1 species
AUUGAACGCUGGCGGCAGGCCUAACACAUGCAAGUCGAACGGUAACAGGAAGAAGCUUGCUUCUUUGCUGACGAGUGGCGGACGGGUGAGUAAUGUCUGGGAAACUGCCUGAUGGAGGGGGAUAACUACUGGAAACGGUAGCUAAUACCGCACAACGUCGCAAGACCAAAAAGGGGGACCUUCGGGCCUCUUGCCAUCGGAUGUGCCCAGAUGGGAUUAGCUAGUAGGUGGGGUAACGGCUCACCUAGGCGACGAUCCCUAGCUGGUCUGAGAGGAUGACCAGCCACACUGGAACUGAGACACGGUCCAGACUCCUACGGGAGGCAGCAGUGGGGAAUAUUGCACAAUGGGCGCAAGCCUGAUGCAGCCAUGCCGCGUGUAUGAAGAAGGCCUUCGGGUUGUAAAGUACUUUCAGCGGGGAGGAAGGGAGUAAAGUUAAUACCUUUGCUCAUUGACGUUACCCGCAGAAGAAGCACCGGCUAACUCCGUG